rnacentral:rRNA from 1 species
UACGAAGGGAGCUAGCGUUGUUCGGAAUUACUGGGCGUAAAGCGCACGUAGGCGGCUUUUUAAGUCAGGGGUGAAAUCCCGGGGCUCAACCUCGGAACUGCCCUUGAAACUGGGAAGCUAGAAUCUUGGAGAGGCGAGUUGAAUUCCGAGUGUAGAGGUGAAAUUGGCAGAUAUUCGGAAGAACACCAGUGGCGAAGGCGACUCGCUGGACAAGUAUUGACGCUGAGGUGCGAAAGCGUGGGGAGCAAACAGG